UACGUAGGGUGCGAGCGUUGUCCGGAAUUACUGGGCGUAAAGAGCUCGUAGGCGGUUUGUCGCGUCGUCUGUGAAAUUCUGCAACUCAAUUGUAGGCGUGCAGGCGAUACGGGCAGACUUGAGUACUACAGGGGAGACUGGAAUUCCUGGUGUAGCGGUGAAAUGCGCAGAUAUCAGGAGGAACACCGGUGGCGAAGGCGGUUCUCUGGGCAUUACCUGACGCUGAGGAGCGAAAGUGUGGGGAGCGAACAGG
rnacentral:rRNA from 1 species